CACUAAGCCAGAGCUUCACUGCUUUUCAUUUUUUGAAGAUGGCUUUGCGACCUACUUUAAUAUGAAGGCUCAAACUAACUGAAAGCCUCAUAGGCGUCACAGUGAAGAACAUUUUGAGGCCAUGAUGCUGAGGAAUAAGAGCUUUUGUGACUAUUGAUGAAUGCACUUACAGAAAGAGCAAGGACACGUGAUGCAGAAGCAACUGGAAUCCAGGAACAGAACUCCUCCAGGUGUCUCCAUUCCUUUCUGCGUCUCUCCAUGUGUCGUCUUUUCAAUGCAGAGAAAGUUGCAUAUUAUUAUGCAUAAGAAAUUUACAGCUUACAAAGCCUUGCAAGAACUCUUGAGACCAGUUGGGAAAGACAGAGAAAGAGAGAGAGAAAAAAUUGACUUCUGCUUAAAUCGUGUUAAAAAAACAAAAUGUAAAACUUAAAACAUUUCCAAAGAAGUUCUCCACCAGUUAAAUGAGGUAAUAAUAUCUAGGUUAAAAAUUCCAAAUCAUAUCAUUAAAGGUAGAGACUAAGAUUUGAGACAGGCACUUGUGAUAAAAGUGUACUAAACUCCUUGAAUAAGUUGGGCAAAGUACAGGAAGUAGACAAAAAAAAUAAUUAAUAGAAAAUAAGUUUUGAAAAUUGUACCUUUUAUUACAUUAUUAUUAAUUGACAAAUAGUGAAAAUAUGCUAAGCAACUGACUCAGGAAAAAGAAUAAUAACCUACGCUAAUAUUAUGAAAUUAAGACUUAUUAAAAUAAAAUCAGCAAUAAAUAAGAUAAAAAUGUAAUAGAUAAAUUAAAUAUUUGAUUUUCUUGAAAAAGAAGAUGUGGACAAACUUCUGGGAAACAGAAGUAAAAAUACACAGGAUUAACUGAAAAAAACAAUUAGAGAUGGCUGAGAACAUUUGAAAAUUAGAGAAUAACAUUCAAUUUUCUAUAAAUACAUUUAAAAUUUUCUUAAAAGUAGAUAUUUUUCUACCAAAAUACAAAUUAUGAAGACUAAUUUAAACAGAUGUAGAGAAUCCAAAAUGGACCAAUGGUGAAGGAAGAAAUGAAAAAAAAGACAAAAUAUUGUCAAGAACCCACACCCACACAAAACUAAUCUUAUGUUCUUAUAGAAUAUACAAAAGGUGGAGCUCAUUUUUAUGUAGGCAGUACAAUAAAAUAUGAAACCUAAAAAAUAUACUCUUGCAUAACUCCUCAAAAGAAUUCUAGGAUAAUAGAUUUUAAAUCUAAGUAGUAAAACUUAAGAAAACAAAUGAGUACUCAUUCAAUAUUAAGGCAGAAUGGAUUUUGUAAACUUGAGCUAAUCAGAUGAAACUGUGGAGCGUAGUCUGCUUUUACUAUGUAAAUAGGAAAAAAAUGAAUAACGUUGCAAAGUAAAUAACCUAUGGCAAACACUUUGUAAUUUGAUAGAAAACAUUAUUUUCUCAGCAUCUAAAAUAUUCUGGCAGAUUAAUCACAAAACAUGAAUACCUGAAUUUAAAAUGAAAAUUUAGACCAGUAUAUGAAUGGGAGAUUCACAACAGAAAAUUUAUAAAUAACUGAUAAAACCUUGUAGAUAUAUUCAAUGUUUUUUGUAUUAAAAAAAUGGAAAUUAAAGAUAAAUUGAAAUACCAUAUUUUUAUUUGUAAAUUUGGCAAAAGCUCUAAUAUCCAGGGUUGGAGAAAAUACUUACAAUGUGGUUUCACACACAGUCUUGUCAAGAGCAUAAAUUUGUACAAUUUUUCUAGAAAGAAAUUUUAUAAUUUGUGUAGGAAACCAUGAAACCCUGCGAGAAUUUGUAUUAUAAAUAAUACUUUCAGGAAUUUAUCCUAAAGACACAAUCGAGGGUGAACAUUAAGCUUUAUAUAAAAAUACUUUCCUAAAAAAUUAUUUAAAAUAAUGAUGAUAAUAACUGGAACAAACCAGAAUGUACAUUGAGAGAUGACUGGUUAAUUUAUGAAACACCAUGUGAUAAAAUAUGGUUUAGUCAAUAAUGUUAAUAAUAAAAUAAAUAUUUAUUUACAUGGAAAGAUAUAUAUUUUAACUAUAAAAUAUUUUUGACAGAGUAGAAUGCUAUUCUGUAUAUUUAAAAAUGAAAAUUUUUAUAACAAAUAAUAGCCGCUCCUAACUGCGAUAAGUAACUUUGCAGACUUUUGUAUGCAUAUUCAUGUAACAUUAACAGAUAAUAGUUAUUCCACACACAAAGACUAUUUUGAUGUAAGCAAAGAAUUGGCUUUUUAAAAAUUGUGUACAUAAAAAUGUAGUCUGGAUAAUAAACUUUGAC
rnacentral:lncRNA from 10 species